AAAAGAGACAUUUGGGGGCAUAAGAACUCGGCCGCGAGAGGUGAAAUUCUAAGACCGGCCGGGGUCUAACAAAAGCGAAAGCAUUUGCCAAGAAUGUUUUCAUUGAUCAAGAACGAAAGUUGGAGGACCGAAAACGAUCACAUACCGUUGUAGUUCCAACUUUAAACUAUGCCGACUGUCGGGGCCAGUUCGGUACAUCCGUACUAAUUGACCUCCCAGGGAAACCAUAGCAGGGUUCUGGGGGGAGUACGGUCGCAAGUCUGAAACUUAAAGGAAUUGACGGAAGGGCACCACCAGGAGUGGAGCCUGCGGCUUAUUUUGACUCAACGCGGGGAAACUUCCCCGGCCCGGACAUCGGAAGGAUUGACAGACUGCUCGCUCUUUCAUGAUACGGUGAAGAGUGGUGCAUGGCCGUUCAUAGUUGGUGGAGCGAUUUGUCUGGCUAAUUCCGUUAACGAACGAGACUUCCUCCUUUAUUUAGUAGAUUCAAUUGGGGUUUAAGUCAACUUUUUGAAGGGACUAACGAUAUUUAAAAGCGUAGGAAGAAAUACGAUAACAGGUCUGUUAUGCCCUUAGAUGUCCGGGGCCGC
rnacentral:rRNA from 1 species